AUGGAGCAGUAUCUGCCAGUAGGACCCGGGAGCGUUUUUCCGAGUGUAGAAGUGUGUAUCAGCAUUUCCUUUUUACACAGGCUCAAGGACAAAUGGGAUCGGUGCGAUGACAUCUGAAGUUCCAUUUCAGCUACUGUGUAUAAACUCAUAAAUGCUUCAGAAGAACCAAGCUGUACACUUGCUGUACUUUGAAGAGGUUUGAGCUGAAGGUGACACACUGCUGGGAGCAAGGAAAUCGUUACGGGUCGUUAGGCUGCUAUUGAAGAAGCUGCGUUGUUCUGAUAAAUGGACUAUAUGGACAUGUAUUUCUGGAGGUAAAGGCGAAUGGACUCAAAACUCAUGGUGGCAGUGGUGCAGAUGAGCAGUCUUGCUGGAGUCCCAAGGUUUCUCUAGCCCAAAAGUGACAGCUGUUUUGUCAUUAAGAGAAAAGGAUUAGCUCAUGGAUCUCUGUGGCAAGUGACACCUUUCACAUUUGCAGGAGUGCAGGGGACUUCAGGGUCCUACAAGUUGAACCUUUAUUCAGGCAUCCAUGCCCAAGCCAUGUCUGCAUCUCCGGCCUUUUGUGAUGUCCUCCCAGGUUGCGAUUAUGCAGCAAAGGAGGAAAACAAGCGCAUUUCUUCUGCAUCAAAAGGAAAAAAAAAAAUCUCUAUGUGGUGAUUUUACAUAUUGAUUAUCCCUUGGCAAGACACAUGCAUUGUUAAAAUGACAAAAUCACACCUCUCAUUGGCUCCCACAGCCGCCCAGAUGCCUCAGAAAGAACACUUUGCAGCACAGUACAUUCACAACGCCUUUCUGUACCCUGAAUUGUUGCAAGGCAAAAUCUUGUGAGAAGAGGCUGAGUUGUCAAGUCGUUAGGAAUCAAAGUGGCUCACCUCCUUGUGGAAGAUGCUUGGCCAUUUCCGAGACCGGCACGCUGAGAGCAGAGCAGGAGGCGAGAGUUUAAGGCUGGGCUCAUGGGGUGCUCAAGUGCCAGCUGGAAUAGACAGCAGGAGUGCGAACGCUGCCUCUCUUCAUCCAGCAUGGGAAGGAGUCGAGUAAACCAUUCACACAAUGAAAUCAGAAAUAAAGGGAGAACUUGGGAUUUGAGCAAUCCCCCUUAUGAAUGAGUAGUGUACAUUUCUCAAGACAAAAAAGGAAAUCUUAAAAAAUAAAUACAAGGUGAAGAAGUGAUCAAAGACAGCAAAAGUACCAGGUUGCAUUAAGUGGCGUAAAAGCCAUGGGUGCAUUCAAGCCUCAGUGUUGGUUCUUUCAAUACAUCUAACAGAUAAAUCAUACUGUUGUUUGAUCAUCUACAUUUGAAUUUAAUACUUCAAAUGUAGAUGAAUCCUAGCAAGAACAGGAGUUGUCACUCCCUAAUUUGAAUUCAGUUGAGUAGCAUCUGUGCAGAGAAGCUAAUUGCACAGAUUAUUCCGUGGUCUUUAUCUGAAACAUUUCCUCUUUUCUGUUUGAGAAACGAGGCUUUUGUUAGCUUUGCAGAUAACCACAGUUCAAAUUCAUGCCUAUCAAUCAGUAGCAUCUUCUUUGUGGUUUUUUUUUUUUUUGGUCAGGUGUUUAUGUGAGUUUGAUUCCAUCUUCUUUCUCUUAACAGUCGUUUUCUUGGGUAAGAGUGUUUGUGUUCCAGCUCUUUCAUGACGUACCACCUCUCCCUGCAGAGUUCAGGUGCUCCUAUGAGUCCCAUCUCUAUUACUGCAAAAGUUUCUGUUGGCUUUGGGUUCUCUGUGAUAUGAUUUAUUUUAGUAAGAUUUUUAAAAGACAGUAAUUUAAACAGAAAUAAAGGUAGAAGAACUGGGAAUCUGAAGUGCAAGAUGAAGUUGCCUCCAAACUAAUCCAUCUUAGAAGAGUGUCCGGCAAUGGUUCAACCCACUGUGAUGAGUUGUUUUCUUGGAGGAUGCAUCGAUACAAGUUUUUUCAUCUGGCAGUUCACACUGAAAAAUUAACGGCCCUGAAAACCUGUGUGUGUGUUCUGCCAGCAGGCAGAAUCGGUCUAGCUCCUGAGAAAGUGGUCAGCGGGUGAGGUAUAUUGGCAUCACAAAGAAAGUGAUGCUGACGAAAAAAAAUGAAGUUAGCAGCAGCAGUGUCUUUCUCUCCUAGUGUUGAAGAGAAACCAUAACCUCAUCUCAGUUACACUACUGCAACUCCAAAGAUGCCAGAGAGCACAGAAAUUUGCCUAAUGACAUUUAUAGCAUCCAAACCGAAAUCUUACAAUUGGUACUUUCAAAUGACAUAUGCAUGUACUUCAGACAAACUGUGAUUUAUUUCAAUAGUACCUGUAUCUUUGAAUCCUAUGUUUUGUCAUUGAACUAAUCUGCACAAUCGGUGUUCAUAAACAUUUGUGACGACUGCUAUCAACGUUGCAUUAAAACGGGACCAGAAUCUGUUGCUGGCAACGUGAAUCUGUUCCUCUUCACUCCUGAGGGAGCUGCAAACACAGAAGAACGCCCAGCUCAAACUGCCUUUCUUAUUCACUUUUAGCUUGAUGCGUUUUUCCUGUUUAUUAUUCUCUCAUUCGUGUUGGAAAGGAAAAUACGUUCUUCUCCUUGCUUUAAGAAUUAUAUUGAUCAUGUGUUGUAGCUAGAAAGAGCCACUGUUGCAUUGUUUUUAUCCCAGGAGUCUCCUGGUGAAAGAACCAGACCAAAUUCUUAAAAAUAAACGGGAUUCAGAAGUAUUGAGGUAAAGGCAGGAGCAUUUCAAGAAACAAUUAGAACCUAUUUUGAAAAAGCAAAGACACAAAAAUAAAAUAGAGCAGACGGACUAAAUUGUCUUUUAUCCCCUGCACUCCAGCCCCUGCUUUUUGAUCUAUGAUGCUUCAGUGAGGCAAAAGAAAGUUUUUAUCCAAAAUAUCCCUAUCAUUUAGGCACUAUAAUAACCCGCAAUCUCCAGGCUUUCAGGACUCGGGAGAGGUUAGGUAACCACCUUUUGUUCAGCUCCUCAUUUUCUGUCUUUUUCAUUCUAAGCACCUAAGACAGAAUGUCACAGAAAUCUACGGGCUGAUUUCUCUUUGAGCUGAAUUAGACAAUGCUACGUGCUGUAAACGUGUCUAUUACUGUCUUUAAAGAUCUCCACAAUGAGCAGCAAUAUAUCAAUGAUUUACAACUCUUCUCUAACCAUCAUCCACGUUAAUAAAGGACUCCAAGAUCAUCUCCGUCUCUUGUCAAAAGCAUUUUGUUUUUACACGUUACAUAUAAAAUCUGAUGAUGAAUUGUAAAAUGCAAACAAACUGCGGCCAGGUGGAUAGAUUUAUCUUAUCAUAAUAUUAUGACAGCUUGCUUAAUCGCUUUAUUGCUUGAACUGCGAAGAUUGUGCUGUGCUGCUGCAGAAACGCAGCAGAAAGCUGUAAGAAUGCACGAUGGCAGUUAGCACCUGUAGAAGGUAAAGAUACUUCA